AUCGUUCAUCCUUAAGGACGGAAGUAGGCUAGCCGAAGGAACGCACU
ncrna:unclassified sequences Glutamine riboswitch